rnacentral:lncRNA from 1 species
GGUUGAAUUCAAGGUAUGACUUAUGAAGAUUGAUAGAUUGACCCAAGAGAGCAUAGUAGCGAUCAAUCAAAACUUUGAGAAAUAUGAUGUCUCUAACAUAUGCUUUGGCCAUUAGCAAACUAUCAUCAACGAAGCCAAGCUGGCUAAUACACUCUCAGCACAUUAUAUUGGAUUGCAAGUUGCAAUAGUCUAGAUGGCAUGUCAGAAUAUAUUCUAAAUAAGAAAGGGGAUAAUAGGCAUCCUUGAUGUAGGGCUCCAAUUGGAUUGAACCAAGAUAAAGG